AUGGCCUGGACUCCUCUCCUCCUCGUGCUCCUCUCUCAGUGCACAGGUUCCCUCUCGCAGCCUGUGCUGACCCAGCCGCCCUCCGUCUCUGCAUCUCUUGGAGCAACAGCCAGACUCACCUGCACCCUGAGCAGAGACAUCAGUGUUGGCGGCUAUACCAUAUACUGGUACCAGCAGAAGGCAGGGAGCCCUCCCCGGUAUCUGCUGUACUACUACUCAGACUCAAGCAAGCACCAGGGCUCCGGGGUCCCCAGCCGCUUCUCUGGCUCCAAAGACACCUCGGCCAAUGCAGGGCUCCUGACCAUCUCUGGGCUGCAGCCUGAGGACGAGGCCGACUAUUACUGUGCAACCGACCAUAGCAGUGCUUCUCACAGUGACACACUCAGAUGGGGAAGGUCCAGCUCCCAGGCUGUGGUGACUCAGGAGCCCUCACUGACAGUGUCCCCAGGAGGGACAGUCACUCUCACCUGUGGCUCCAGCACGGGAGCCGUCACCAACAAUAACUAUCCACACUGGUUCCAGCAGAAGCCUGGCCAAACCCUGAGAACACUGAUUUAUAACACAAACAAUAAAUUCUCAUGGACCCCGGCCCGGUUCUCAGGCUCCAUUACAGGGGACAGAGCUGCCCUGACGCUAUCAGGGGCCCAGACCGAGGACGAGGCCGAGUACUACUGUGCCCUGUGGGGCUGCGCCUAG